rnacentral:rRNA from 1 species
UAUGUGAUCGUCUCUCGCAUAUCAAUAAGCGGAGGAAAAGAAACUAACAAGGAUUCCCCUAGUAACGGCGAGUGAAGCAGGAAGAGCUCAAAUUUGAAAUCUUAAAGGGUUUCCCUUUACGAAUUGUAGUUUAAAGAAGUGUUUUCUGUUGAGGUUUUGGUAAAAGUUCUUUGGAAUAGGACAUCAUAGAGGGUGAGAAUCCCGUAUUUGACCUUUACUUUCAACUUUGUGAUACACUUUCAAAGAGUCGGAUUGUUUGGGAAUGCGGUCCAAAAUGGGUGGUAAAUUUCAUCUAAAGCUAAAUAUUGGCGAGAGACCGAUAGCGAACAAGUACCGUGAGGGAAAGAUGAAAAGAACUUUGAAAAGAGAGUUAAACAGUACGUGAAAUUGUCAAAAGGGAAGCGUUUGACACCAGUGUUGUUUUUCUGAAAAUCAAUUAAAGAACUGUUUAUGCUAAGUUGUUUAGACUUUAUCAGCUAACUGUUUAGUUUUGAGCUUUUCUUUAAUGCACUUUUCAGUUAACAAGUCAACAUCAAUUUCUUUUGCUGUAAAAAAGCUUGAGGAAGGUGGCUUGAGAUUCGUCUUAAGUGUUUAUAGCCUCUUGCCUAUGCAGUCGGAGAGAUUGAGGUCUGCAGCGUAGAUCCUUCGGGGCUAAAUGCAUUUGUGCUAAGUUAUAGCAUUUUAUAGACAACUUGUUGACUAUGAUUUGUCUUGUAGCUUACUCGCUUAUGUUAUUUUACCUACGCUUAGGAUGUUGAUAUGCAUGACUGAUAU